UACGGAGGGGGCUAGCGUUGUUCGGAAUUACUGGGCGUAAAGCGCACGUAGGCGGCUUUGCAAGUCAGAGGUGAAAGCCCGGGGCUCAACCCCGGAAUUGCCUUUGAGACUGCAUCGCUAGAACGUCGGAGAGGUGAGUGGAAUUCCGAGUGUAGAGGUGAAAUUCGUAGAUAUUCGGAAGAACACCAGUGGCGAAGGCGACUCACUGGACGACUGUUGACGCUGAGGUGCGAAAGCAUGGGGAGCAAACAGG
rnacentral:rRNA from 1 species